rnacentral:siRNA from 1 species
UAUUCCAGGGUGCAUCGUAG